rnacentral:rRNA from 1 species
UACGUAGGUGGCGAGCGUUGUCCGGAUUUAUUGGGUUUAAAGGGUGCGUAGGCGGCUUUGUAAGUCAGUGGUGAAAUACUCCAGCUUAACUGGAGGGGUGCCAUUGAUACUGCGGAGCUUGAGUACAGAUGAGGUAGGCGGAAUUGACGGUGUAGCGGUGAAAUGCAUAGAUAUCGUCAAGAACACCGAUAGUGAAGACAGCUCACUAAGCUCAAACUGACGCUGAGGCACGAAAAGUGUGGGGGAUCAAACAGG